rnacentral:pre_miRNA from 1 species
UUGUGAUGAUGGUGAUGGUGGUGAUGAUGAUGAUGAUGAUGAUGAUUGAAAUAGGUGAAAUCGUCGUUAUCGCCAUCAUCAUUAUCAUCAUCGCCAUCGUCAUCAUCAUCAUCAUCAUUA